rnacentral:rRNA from 1 species
UAGGGAAUCUUCCGCAAUGGACGCAAGUCUGACGGAGCAACGCCGCGUGAGUGAAGAAGGAUUUCGGUUCGUAAAACUCUGUUGUUAGAGAAGAACAGCGCAUAGAGUAACUGUUAUGCGUGUGACGGUAUCUAACCAGAAAGCCACGGCUAACUACGUGCCAGCAGCCGCGGUAAUACGUAGGUGGCAAGGGUUGUCCGGAUUUAUUGGGCGUAAAGCGAGCGCAGGCGGUCAAUUAAGUCUGAUGUGAAAGCCCCCGGCUCAACCGGGGAGGGUCAAUGGAAACUGGUUGAAUUGAGUGCAGAAGAGGAGAGUGGAAUUCCAUGUGUAGCGGUGAAAUGCGUAGAGAUAUGGAGGAACACCAGUGGCGAAGGCGACUCUCUGGUCUGUAACUGACGCGGAGGCUCGAAAGCGUGGGUAGCAAACAGG